UCACCUAAUGGGAAAUGUCAGAU
rnacentral:siRNA from 1 species